AACGAACGCUGGCGGCAUGCCUAACACAUGCAAGUCGAACGAGGCCUUCGGGUCUAGUGGCGCACGGGUGCGUAACGCGUGGGAACCUGCCCUUAGGUUCGGAAUAACUCCCCGAAAGGGGUGCUAAUACCGGAUAAUGUCUUCGGACCAAAGAUUUAUCGCCUUUGGAUGGGCCCGCGUUGGAUUAGCUAGUUGGUAGGGUAAAAGCCUACCAAGGCGACGAUCCAUAGCUGGUCUGAGAGGAUGAUCAGCCACACUGGGACUGAGACACGGCCCAGACUCCUACGGUAGGCAGCAGUGGGGAAUAUUGGACAAUGGGCGAAAGCCUGAUCCAGCAAUGCCGCGUGAGUGAUGAAGGCCUUAGGGUUGUAAAGCUCUUUUACCCGGGAUGAUAAUGACAGUACCGGGAGAAUAAGCUCCGGCUAACUCCGUG
rnacentral:rRNA from 1 species